UUGGAUAUAUGCUUUAUCUUCUU
rnacentral:snRNA from 1 species